CCAAAAACACAUUGUUUUGGUCCUAAACUUGCCGCUAUUUUUUACUCAACUUAUACAUGCAAGCAUCCACAUGCCAGUGAAAAUGCCCACCUAGUCUAAAAGACAAACGGAGCCGGUAUCAGGCACAACUUGAUUAGCCAAUGACACCUUGCCCUGCCACAUCCCCACGGACCUGCAGCAGUGAUUAAUAUUAGAUAUAAGCGAAAGCUUGAUCUAGUUAUAGUAAGCCAAGGGCCGGUAAAUUUCGUGCCAGCCACCGCGGUUAUACGAAAGACCCAAAAUAAUGGCCCCCGGCGUAAAGAGUGGUUAGAACACAACAACACAGGGAGAAACACCCUCUUAGCUGUAAAACGCUCAAGAAGACAAGAACACUAACACCCUAAAAUCCUUUAACCCCACGAAAGCCAGGACACAAACUGGGAUUAGAUACCCCACUAUGCCUAGCUAUAAACUUAGAUAGCAAAAUACAACCUAUCCGCCAGAGAACUACAAGCAAAAUACUUAAAACUCAAAGGACUUGGCGGCAUUCCACAUCAGCCUAGAGGAGCCCGUCUAAUAAUCGACAACACACGCUCAACCCCACCAUUCUUGGCCACUCCAGCUUAUAUACCGCCGUCGCCAGCUAACCUUGUGAAAGAAAAACAGUAAGCAAAAUAGCCCUCGCUAAAACGUCAGGUCAAGGUGUAGCUAAUAAAAUGGAUACGAUAGGCUACAUUUUCUACUAUAGAAAACACGGAAAAUACAAUGAAAUCUUGUAAUAGAAGGUGAAUUUAGAAGUAAAUUAAGAAAGGACCCUUAUUUUAACCCCGCCCUGGAAUGCGCACACACCGCCCGUCACCCUCCUCAAAAUAAUAGAAGAGGUAAG
rnacentral:ncRNA from 1 species